UACGUAGGCAGCGAGCGUUGUUCGGAGUUACUGGGCGUAAAGCGUGCGUAGGCGGUGUCUUAAGUUUGUUGUGAAAUCUCCCGGCUUAGCCGGGAGGGUGCGGCGAAUACUGAGAUGCUGGAGUGCCGGAGAGGUAAGCGGAAUUCCUGGUGUAGCGGUGAAAUGCGUAGAUAUCAGGAGGAACACCUGCGGUGUAGACGGCUUACUGGACGGUAACUGACGCUGAGGCACGAAAGCGUGGGUAGCAAACAGG
rnacentral:rRNA from 1 species